rnacentral:rRNA from 1 species
UGCAGUCGAGCGAACAGACGAGGAGCUUGCUCCUCUGACGUUAGCGGCGGACGGGUGAGUAACACGUGGAUAACCUACCUAUAAGACUGGGAUAACUUCGGGAAACCGGAGCUAAUACCGGAUAAUAUAUUGAACCGCAUGGUUCAAUAGUGAAAGACGGUUUUGCUGUCACUUAUAGAUGGAUCCGCGCCGCAUUAGCUAGUUGGUAAGGUAACGGCUUACCAAGGCAACGAUGCGUAGCCGACCUGAGAGGGUGAUCGGCCACACUGGAACUGAGACACGGUCCAGACUCCUACGGGAGGCAGCAGUAGGGAAUCUUCCGCAAUGGGCGAAAGCCUGACGGAGCAACGCCGCGUGAGUGAUGAAGGUCUUCGGAUCGUAAAACUCUGUUAUUAGGGAAGAACAAAUGUGUAAGUAACUAUGCACGUCUUGACGGUACCUAAUCAGAAAGCCACGGCUAACUACGUGCCAGCAGCCGCGGUAAUACGUAGGUGGCAAGCGUUAUCCGGAAUUAUUGGGCGUAAAGCGCGCGUAGGCGGUUUUUUAAGUCUGAUGUGAAAGCCCACGGCUCAACCGUGGAGGGUCAUUGGAAACUGGAAACUUGAGUGCAGAAGAGGAAAGUGGAAUUCCAUGUGUAGCGGUGAAAUGCGCAGAGAUAUGGAGGAACACCAGGUGGCGAAAGCGACUUUCUGGUCUGUAACUGACGCUGAUGUGCGAAAGCGUGGGGAUC